ensembl:lncRNA
CACACACACACGCACACACACACGCACACACACACACACUUGAAGCUGGGAAACUGGCUCCCCAGAUAAUAUAUCCAUUAGGCUAGGCUGCAGGAAAGCUCACCAGCUCUCUAAUAUCUGCCAGGUCUGCCUUAUGCCAACUCUUAUUCCAAUAGAGCAUAAGUAAAAAUGUUGGGUCAUACCCUCUCCUACCCUCAAUCUCCUGUCGCUGCGUUUGAUACCUCGACUGGGUUAUCUGCUACUGCCUGGGUGUCAUGUCACCCCUAGAGGAGGUUCUCUGCUACUGCCUGGGUGUCAUGUCACCCCUAGAGGAGGUUCUCUGCUACUGCCUGGGUGUCAUGUCACCCCUAGAGGAGGUUCUCUGCUACUGCCUGGGUGUCAUGUCACCCCUAGAGGAGGUUCUCUGCUACUCCCUGGGUGUCAUGCCACCCCUUAGAGGUUCUCUGCUACUGCCUGGGUGUCAUGCCACCCCUAGAGGAGGUUCUCUGCUACUGCCUGGGUGUCAUUCUACCCUAGAGGAGGUUCUCUGCUACUGCCUGCGUGUCAUGCCACCCCUAGAGGAGGUUCUCUGCUACUGCUUGCGUGUCACCCUAGAGGAGGUUAUCUGCUACUGCCUGCGUGUCACCCCUAGAGGAGGUUUUCUGCUACUGCCUGCGUGUCACCCCGAGAGGAGGUUCUCUGCUACUGCCCGCGUGUCCCCCCUAGAGGAGGGCACCUUGAUUGGUCCUAGACAGGGUUACCUGCCUCGCCUCGCUCCUUACCGUAUGGGCCGAGAACAGCAGUCUGCUGCUCGUACUGGGCGCAGAUGAAAUGAUAAACACCUCAUCUGUCCCCAAGUCCAGUUCCGUGAGACCAUUGGAUGAGAGGUCCACUUCAGCAUGCUCAGACAUAUCACCACCAACACUGACCGGGGAACCUGGGAAGGAAAGGAAGGAAUAGUUGUUUUUGAAUAAUUUAGUUGUGACAGAUACAAUUAAAACAUUGCUACAUUGAAGGCACAACAGUCAGAUGCAUUGCACCAUCACACCUUAGUUUACGCUAACUUCC